CCGGGCCGGCGGCACGCCCCAGCACGGGAGUGGGCGAGGUCGCGACCAGGAGAUCCGCCGGCGAGAGGCUGCGGCGCUCGCCACCGGAUGCAGCUUCUAGAUCGAGCCCUCCGCCUCGCAAGCCGCCGCUGCCGCACCCUCCACCUACUGCUCCACCCGCGGACCUCCGCCCUUCGCCUCCGACCUCCAGCUCCACGCAGGCAUCAUGGCCCCCGCACGGGGGAGGCCCAGCCCCGGCAUCGCUACCCAAGCUGGGGUCGCCGCGAGCGACUAGAAGUUUCCCGUCCGCCAGAAUCCCCUGCGUGCGGCCUCCCCCGGGCUCGGCGCGGGCGGCCUGCAGAUUCGGCAGCGCCGCCCUGGCUUGGGCUCGGUCUAGCCACGGCGGCGCAUCCUUGGAACAGCCUCGUCGCAGGCGAUGUCAAGCCUCUGCGGACCUUGGUAGCGGCAAACCCAUCGCCGACCAACCCAGCCGCCUAGUAGCCUACUGCCUACAGCCAAAGCAAGCAUUGAUCCCUCCUUUACCUUGCCAUGGGCUAGAACCUCAGCGGAUAACUACCAUCAAUCUGGGGGCAUUCCAAUAAAUGAAUCUUUUGAAACCUGCUUAAGGGCUGUUCAGAUCCUGCCUGCUGGUCUUGCAACUGAUGCAGUGCGAGAGUGUGAAGAGCUGAGAACUC